GGUGGUAUAGUCUAGGGGUAGGACGUCACAUUGUGGAUUUGCAAUGCUGUGAAAGCCUGGAUUCGAAUUCCAGUACCGCCA